UUUAGUUUCUUGCUUUAGGAAGCGGAAGACUAAUGACCGAAGCUUCAAGACUUUGACAUGUGUGAAAACAUGAAAUGACCCUUGGCUCUUAUUGUUCUUGCUGGUGUGGUAUGUUCACGGCUGAAAAGAUGGUCAGAAGGGGAAAGGAGGAAGUGAGAAGAAAGAAACAGGGAAAUGCAGGCUGAGGAAUUACCAAGGAGGCAGGAGGUGGAGCAAAACACACCAAGCCUGGUGCCAAUCAUUGACAAUAUUAUGGAACUGACUCAGCGCAAGAAGACAGCUUCGACUCCUUGUGAUUUCAUCCCUAACCAAUCAGCACUCCUGGCUCACUGGCUUCCCCCAACCCACCAAAUUGUCCUUAAAAACUCUGCUCUCCAAACGCUGGGGGAGACUGAUUUGAGUAAUAAUAAAACCCUGGUCUCCUGCACA
rnacentral:lncRNA from 1 species